CCGUGACCAUCUUCACAAGACAGAUUUUCCUUUGUAGACCCACAGUGAACUUAGAUGGCACCACUAAUAAAAAUGAUAGUCUUUGGCAAGUACCUCUCCGGCUGCCACUUUAUGUAUUUUAUGUAUUAUCACAUUGAGGCUCACAUUACUGGUGUUUCCCCCCCCCCCAAGAUUACAAAACAACCAACUUGAAGAAUAAAUAAGAAGAGCUGCCUGUGGUCAUGCUGCUAUAAUGUCAUCUGUGAGCUUGUUUCUCCCUCCGCACUGCUCCUCAGCGACUGAAGACAGCUUUCAAAAAUGCUUGAGCAACCCACAUAUCUCUGAACUAAUUGUACCAUGCCCCAAGGCCACGGAUUUGCAGAAUAGUGCUCUUGGACAUUCCUGCUGUUUACUCAGUAGAAGCAGAACUAAACAGUACCAGAUCCUCCAAAGGCAGCACUCAGAAGAACGAGAGACACAAUGAAGAGCUCUUAAUGUAAAGAAACAUUUUGGCUUUGCCCCGUCAUCUCCAAAGCUCUCAGCCUGCCAUCACCCAGACCCCACCCUGUUGAAAUGGGUGCUGGACUAACCCUGGCUGGCAGGAAUGCUUUUGAGUUCCAGGAUUCAUCUAAACUGUGCUUGCUGUCACUUUAAUUCGCAAAUAACAAAAACCUGAGCAGAACUUGCUCAAAGAAAAGUGGAAUUCACUAGCUUUCAUAAGCUGAAAAGCAGAGGUCCUCCAGAACAAGAGUUGUUGGAGGUUACUUCCCAGGGUGUGCAUCAAGAACUUAAACACAGUGGUCACUGGAUGGAAUAUUUCACAUUACCUGGUUUUGAAGAGAUCAGUGUGGCUGGCAGCUGGGAGCGAGGGCAGAGUCCUAAAUACAACAGAUGGGAAGACACGCCCAUCUCAGUUGCCUUCUGCUACAAAAUCAAUGUGACAGUUGUAAUUCCUCUUUCUUCUUCAUUCACCCUACAUAAGAUGAUGCUGGUCUGAUGGGAGAUCUGCCUUGUGAAGUCUUUUAAAAUAGAUUUAUGAACAAACAUCACAGAGACUGUUUGGGCUGCAUGCGUGUCUUGCACGAUAUCCAUGGAUCCCCUGGAACUGGAGUUACAGAUGAUUGUGGACCACCGUGUGGGAUACUGGCAACUGAACACGGCAGCCAGGAUGGUACCAUAGCUACUGUCCCGAUUCUGGAGAAGGUUCCCAAGAAGACUCCUGGGUGUAGAGCAGUGCAGUCCGGAAGCGGAUCGUAACGGAGCGUGCUGACGAGGAGCUGCUGAGAGAGAAUGCUGGGAGCUGCUAUUUAACAAGAUGUUCAGACCACUUUCAAGGCCUGUACUGUGUGACUUUCUGCCGGUUGUCAUUGGUAAGAUGUGACAUUGAGGGGUAGCACUCACUGGUACCAAAGCUCCGACAAUUAGGAGAAGGCAGCAAACAACCUGAAACAAUACAGGACAGGCAAUUCAAGAAGAGACAGAGUGGUACAGGUGACACCCAUGCAACUAAGGUCCCCUGGAAGGCUGUGGGUUGACACAUUCAGCAGAAACCACUGUUUUCAUUAGUUGGGUAAAUAUCUUAAAAUGUUUUAUUUGUUUCACAAUUUUAAACU